GACGAACGCUGGCGGCGUGCCUAAUACAUGCCAGUAGAACGCUGAAGAGAGGAGCUUGCUCUUCUUGGAUGAGUUGCGAACGGGUGAGUAACGCGUAGGUAACCUGCCUUGUAGCGGGGGAUAACUAUUGGAAACGAUAGCUAAUACCGCAUAACAAUGGAUGACACAUGUCAUUUAUUUGAAAGGGGCAAUUGCUCCACUACAAGAUGGACCUGCGUUGUAUUAGCUAGUAGGUGAGGUAAUGGCUCUCCUAGGCGACGAUACAUAGCCGACCUGAGAGGGUGAUCGGCCACACUGGGACUGAGACACGGCCCAGACUCCUACGGGAGGCAGCAGUAGGGAAUCUUCGGCAAUGGGGGCAACCCUGACCGAGCAACGCCGCGUGAGUGAAGAAGAGUGUCGGAUCGUAAAGCUCUGUUGUAAGUCAAGAACGGGUGUGAGAGUGGAAAGUUCACACUGUGACGGUAGCUUACCAGAAAGGGACGGCUAACUACGUG
rnacentral:rRNA from 1 species